GACGUGCUACGUAAAGAGAGUGACGAGUCAUAUACAUUUGGCAAGAAACCAUGAAGCUGCCUACAGCCGUCUCGGUGGCAUAAGAACACAAGAAAUUGUGUUAAUUAAUCAAAGCUAUAAAUAACGCUCGCAUGCCUGUGCACUUCUCCAUCACCACCACUGGGUCUUCAGACCAUUAGCUUUAUCUACUCCAGAGCGCAGAAGAACCCGAUCGACACCAUGAGGGUGUUGCUCGUUGCCCUCGCUCUCCUGGCUCUCGCUGCGAGCGCCACCUCCACGCAUACAAGCGGCGGCUGCGGCUGCCAGCCACCGCCGCCGGUUCAUCUACCGCCGCCGGUGCAUCUGCCACCUCCGGUUCACCUGCCACCUCCGGUGCAUCUCCCACCGCCGGUCCACCUGCCGCCGCCGGUCCACCUGCCACCGCCGGUCCAUGUGCCGCCGCCGGUUCAUCUGCCGCCGCCACCAUGCCACUACCCUACUCAACCGCCCCGGCCUCAGCCUCAUCCCCAGCCACACCCAUGCCCGUGCCAACAGCCGCAUCCAAGCCCGUGCCAGCUGCAGGGAACCUGCGGCGUUGGCAGCAC
rnacentral:lncRNA from 1 species